AGAGUUUGAUCAUGGCUCAGAAUCAACGCUGGCGGCGCGCCUAACACAUGCAAGUCGAGCGGGAAAGUGGAGCAAUCCAUGAGUACAGUGGCGUACGGGUGAGUAACACGUGGGUAAUCUACCUCUUAGUGGGGAAUAACCCUGGGAAACCGGGGCUAAUACCGCAUAAGCCUGAGAAGGGAAAGCAGCAAUGCGCUGAGAGAGGAGCCCGCGGCCGAUUAGCUAGUUGGCAGGGUAAAAGCCUACCAAGGCAGAGAUCGGUAGCCGGCCUGAGAGGGCACACGGCCACACUGGCACUGAAACACGGGCCAGACUCCUACGGGAGGCAGCAGUGGGGAAUCUUGCACAAUGGGGGAAACCCUGAUGCAGCGACGCCGCGUGAGCGAUGAAGCCCUUCGGGGUGUAAAGCUCUUUCGUCAGGGAAGAUAAUGACGGUACCUGGAGAAGCAGCUGCGGCUAACUACGUGCCAGCAGCCGCGGUAAUACGUAGGCAGCAAGCGUUGUUCGGAGUUACUGGGCGUAAAGGGUGUGUAGGCGGUUCUUUAAGUUUGGUGUGAAAUCUCCCGGCUCAACCGGGAGGGUGCGCCGAAUACUGAGGGACUAGAGUACGGGAGAGGAAAGUGGAAUUCCUGGUGUAGCGGUGAAAUGCGUAGAUAUCAGGAGGAACACCGGUGGUGUAGACGGCUUUCUGGACCGUAACUGACGCUGAGACACGAAAGCGUGGGUAGCAAACAGGAUUAGAUACCCUAGUAGUCC
rnacentral:rRNA from 1 species